rnacentral:rRNA from 1 species
CCCUAUCUAUCGUGGGCGUAGGAUAUUUGAGUGGAGCUGCCCCUAGUACGAGAGGACCGGGGUGGACGUACCAAUGGUGCACCUGUUGUCACGCCAGUGGCAUAGCAGGGUAGCGAUGUACGGAAGGGAUAAAUGCUGAAAGCAUCUAAGCGUGAAGCCCACCACAAGAUUAGAUAUCCCAUAACAUAAGUUAGUAAGAACCGUUGUAGACUACAACGUUGAUAGGCCAGAGAUGUAAGCACAGUAAUGUGUUCAGUUGACUGGUACUAAUAGUUCGAGGGCUUAAUCAC